GAACUCAGCACCAAAUAACUCCAGGAGAAGCUGCAGUGGGACCCGGAGGCGAAGCAUAUGGAGGUGGAGGACGUGACCCUCAACCGUCGUGCCUGCAGCUUCCGAGUCCUGGUGGUGUCGGCCAAGUUUGAGGGGAAGCUGCUGCUUCAGACACACUGGCGGGUAAAUAUGUGGCUAGCUGGAGGCUCUCGCACAUCCAUGCUUUUGAGCAGAAAACCCUCAUCCCAGAGCAGUGGGCUUGUGAACGGCA
rnacentral:lncRNA from 1 species